ACUCCUGCGGGAGGCAGCAGUGGGGAAUAUUGCACAAUGGGCGCAAGCCUGAUGCAGCCAUGCCGCGUGUAUGAAGAAGGCCUUCGGGUUGUAAAGUACUUUCAGCGGGGAGGAAGGCGAUAAGGUUAAUAACCUUGUUGAUUGACGUUACCCGCAGAAGAAGCACCGGCUAACUCCGUGCCAGCAGCCGCGGUAAUACGGAGGGUGCAAGCGUUAAUCGGAAUUACUGGGCGUAAAGCGCACGCAGGCGGUCUGUCAAGUCGGAUGUGAAAUCCCCGGGCUCAACCUGGGAACUGCAUUCGAAACUGGCAGGCUAGAGUCUUGUAGAGGGGGGUAGAAUUCCAGGUGUAGCGGUGAAAUGCGUAGAGAUCUGGAGGAAUACCGGUGGCGAAGGCGGCCCCCUGGACAAAGACUGACGCUCAGGUGCGAAAGCGUGGGGAGCAAACAGGAUUAGAUACCCGUGUAGUCCCA
rnacentral:rRNA from 1 species